rnacentral:rRNA from 1 species
UCUCCGGUGACCAUAGCAUAGGAGUUACACCCGAUCCCAUCUCGAACUCGGAAGUUAAGCCCUAUUGCGCCGAUGGUACUGCGCGGGUAACUAGCGUGGAAGAGUAGGUCGUCGCCGGGAAU